rnacentral:lncRNA from 1 species
UUUUCUGUUUAGAAAAGAAGAAGCCACUGAAGCUGCCAGUGCCACCCCCAAAACUGAGGUUCUCUCCAAGGAAGAGUGUCUCCCAGACCUCACUCAACUGUUCAAGUACACUUAAAGCCCAGGUAGUCCAAAUUGUGACCUCACCAUGCAAAUUUCGAAGCCCUAAGCAAGUUAUAAGACCAAAGUCUUCAACUGAACCCCAGAGUCACCAUGCCUCCUCAGCUUCCCGCUCACCCUCGUCUUCUCCCUCAUCUCGAUCAGGUAAGGAAAUAAUGGCUUUAUAAAUGUUUUAACACAAGGCUUUGUAGACAUGAACAAUACUACAUUACUUGUACCAUAUUAAUUAAAUUAUUAAAUUUAAGAAUAGUUUAUGAUCCCUCUGCAAAUGAUAGAUUUGAUAGGUAUGAGAUUAUUGUUAACUUUUUAAUUUCUAGUAUCAAACCAGGAUUGGCCAGAUGGUAGAAAUGAUCCUGGAAGACUGUCAAAAAGUAUGUAUUUUUUAUUGUAUCAAGUAAUAAAUAAAACUACAUAUAUUAUAGUUUUACACAGAAUGUAUUUUAAUUAUGUGUAGGCUCA